CAAACUUGCAGUAGCCAACCUAUAUGAGCCAACAGCCACUAAGAUGUUUUGAAUUUGUCCCAAACCACAUUAGCUCCAUUAAACGUAUACUCCGGAGAGGGCAAAGAAUUAGCAUGGCUGACACGCACAAAAUCGAUAAAUGGAUGAUGAAUUAAUAGCAGCAAGUUCGUUGCAAAACGAUCUUGAUUUCUUGCAAGUAAGCAUCAAGAGCAGUUUGAUGCUCGUCUCUCUUGACUUCUUAGAAUCGACACCUGCAAGUGCAGUAAAUCUCGAGCCCACCAAGCAGUAAAUCUCUUUGGACGAGUUUGCAUGUCAUUCUUUUGCAAAAGUUCUGCAAACAUCUCUGAAAGUUUCAAGUCCACCAAGAAGACUUCGAAACCUCUGAGGUUAAUUUAUUAGCAUAUCAGUCUUCUUGGAGCCAUUUGAGGUAAGCAAGGCUGGAAAUUUCCUUGCCUUCAGGUGAGAUUACUUUGAUUUGAGAACCUCUUUAUCAUCAAAAAUGUUCCCAGUGACUGUUAUGCCUAGAUGCAGUGAAUCAGAAAACUUGGAAAGAAUUACUUAAAUAUCUCUCAGUUAAGUGUUACGUUUUGCUAUAUUUAUAAUUGUUCAAAUUAUGCAAUUUUAAGUAUCAAACUUGUUUAUAGCAUAAUUUUAAGUAUAUAAUACACGCUAAUAAUCAUAAAAAAAAUUUCAAAUAGUCAAUGAUUUGCCAAGUGUUUGCAAUAAUUGUUUGUGCCUCAUUGAUGACGUCUAGGGUUGCAUAAAAAAUGGACUAAAAUUUUCGAAUGGACCAAGAUGGAAAAAUGACUAUCGAUUUAGGACUAAAUCUUGUAUGUAUGUUCAUCCUGCUAAAUAGUUUGCCUUUUGAGCUGGGUCGAAAUUCUUUUAGCUUUCAUCUUUGCCUUUCUAUUUCUCUUUUUAAUUUCCUAUGAAGAAGUUCUCUAAGGGAAUCAAAUAAAUGAAGAAGAAGAAUAAGAAGAAAAGAGUUGCAUCUAGAAUCAGUUUCCUGUUUAAAAAAAAUGCUGGAGUUGACCUGAGAAAUGGUAGUUGGGUCAUAGACCGAGCAGUAGCCUAGCCUCUGAUCUAUUCCAAGUGCCCGGGUGGUCCAGGCUUACGAAAGUGGGUUGGUUGAGUCCACAAAAUGGAUAUGGGUCAGAGCGAUGCACGCUUACUCAGAUGACUGGUCCUGGCCCAUGCUGUCUCUGGCAAAUAGAUACGAGAAAGGAAAAUAUGUCAUUUUUUCUUUUUCUAUUUUUUUUUUCUGUUAAAGAAAAUAACACACUAUACUCCGUUUUCGGUUUUAUUACAAAAACACAUCAUGAAUUUAAUUUUUAUAUUUUAACAUU